UCUUUAAUUCUUAGUUAACCUGGCUAGGGUUUUAUCAAUUUUAUUAAUCUGUUUAAGAACCAGUUUUGAUUUUGCUGAUUAUCUCCGUUCUUUUUUGUUCUGUUCUGUUUUGUUGGCUCUCAGCCUCACUAACUUCUGCUCUGAUUUGUAUUAUUUCCCUUUGCUUGCUUUGGGUCUACAUUGAUCUUCUGUUUCUAGUUUCCCUGAAGACUGUAUUUGUCUUACCUUGCUUCUUUGCAUGCCUUCUAAAUUUCUGUUAAAAUAAAGACACAGUGUAUAAAUUAUUGGGACCCAAGUAUGAGAAUUUAUUUUAAUCUGACUAGGAAUAAGGCUUUUCAAUGUUUGCUGUGUCUGUGGGUAAAAGUCUUCAAAUUCCUCUGGUGUUCUUGUUUUUGUCUCUCUUAACUUUGAGAUUCCCUAAAAACUUCACAGUGACA